GUUUGAAUUUAUUAGAAGUCCACUACAAAGUUAUUAAUAGAUGGUAUUUAGUCCCAAAGAGAUUAGCACACAUGUAUGGUAAUGUCUCUGCCAGGUGUUGGAGAUGUGGGAGAGAGAAGGGUUCACAACUCUACAUAUGGUGGAGCUGUAUAGAGAUUCAAAAUGUAAUAAAUUCACUCUAUAAAUUUAUUAGAGAAAAUACAAACAUCAUGCUAGAUAAGACGCCUGAGGUCAUACUGUUACAUAUGCACUGGCCGACUAUGUCACGUAGAAAUUAGAGUUUUAUAAUUCAUUGUCUGGUCGCAUAUAAAAUAAGAAUUGCUCGCAAUUGGAAAAGCACACAAGGCUCACUAUGGGAACCUAUUAAGGAACAAAUACUAACUCAGAUUAAAAUGGAACGAUAUUUGAGUAUUCCGAGUAAAAAAAUUUUUAAGAGACAAGUUUUUGGGCAGGAAUGGUUAGCAGAGAUACAGUAAGCUCAAUAGUACUAUACAUGAGACCUUUGGGCUCAGACACGAUCA